rnacentral:rRNA from 1 species
UGAGGAACAUGACCUUCGGCGGGGGAUAGCCGGCCCAACGGCCGGGUAAUACCGCGUACGACCACAUGGGGACAUCCCUGGGUGGUGAAAGCAGCAAUGCGCCGAUGGAGUGCCUCGCGGCCUAUCAGCUAGUUGGUGAGGUAACGGCUCACUAAGGCGACGACGGGUAGCUGGUCUGAGAGGAUGGCCAGCCACAUUGGGACUGAGACACGGCCCAGACUCCGUAGGGAGG